UACGGGGGGGGCAAGCGUUGUUCGGAAUUACUGGGCGUAAAGGCGCGUAGGCGGCCUGCUAAGUCGGACGUGAAAUCCCUCGGCUCAACCGAGGAACUGCGUCCGAUACUGGUGGGCUUGAAUCCGGGAGAGGGAUGUGGAAUUCCAGGUGUAGCGGUGAAAUGCGCAGAUAUCAGGAGGAACACCGGUGGCGAAGGCGGGUCUCUGGGCCGGUACUGACGCUGAGACGCGAAAGCGUGGGGAGCGAACAGG
rnacentral:rRNA from 1 species